GUGGGGAAUCUUGCGCAAUGGGCGAAAGCCUGACGCAGCGACGCCGCGUGGGUGAUGAAGGCCUUCGGGUUGUAAAGCCCUGUGGGGAGGGACGAAUAACGCCGACCUAAUACGUCGGUGGAUGACGGUACCUCCUUAGCAAGCACCGGCUAACUCUGUGCCAGCAGCCGCGGUAAGACAGAGGGUGCAAACGUUGUUCGGAAUUACUGGGCGUAAAGCGCGUGUAGGCGGUUAUGCAAGUCGGAUGUGAAAGCCCGGGGCUCAACCCCGGAAGUGCAUUCGAUACUGCGUAGCUAGAGUACUGGAGAGGAUGGUGGAACUCUCGGUGUAGAGGUGAAAUUCGUAGAUAUCGAGAAGAACACCGGUGGCGAAGGCGGCCAUCUGGACAGAUACUGACGCUGAGACGCGAAAGCGUGGGGAGCAAACAGGAUUAGAAACCCGGGUAGUCC
rnacentral:rRNA from 1 species